UUCGCUAACCAUUGCGCCACCGCUCCGCGCACGUGUGUCACACGGGAUAUGGUCAAUGACGCCACGGCGGGGAAGAUGACUACGCGUGCUGACGUCAGCAGCUCCCAAAUUACAGGGGACGUGGGAGGGAGAGUUAGAGAGAGAGAGAGCGCUCGCAGAGAGAGAGAGCGCGCGCGUGGGCGUGUGGAGCGCGGGACCGCCCUGAGCGACUCGCUGCGGCGCAUAGAGACCCAACAACAAAGAGACAGAGAGAGGACGACUCAGAGGCGCCAUGAGGAGGAGGAACCACAGACGAGGAGCAGGAAGGCAGCGGCCACACGGCGAGGAGCCGACACCAAAUCCACUCCCCAGCUCGACGGUCCUCUACAUAUGAAGAAAACGAAACUUCCUCUUCAAGCUCACGUCGGGACAUCUCGGGACACGCAGCCUCAGGCGGUGUAGCUACAAGAGAAGAGAACCACUGCAUUCUGGGGUCGUGUCUUGGCAUUUAGCACACAAUCACUUACAUCACACUCCACCUGCUGGCCAAUACACCACGUCACUCGCACCCUUACAAUACAAAAUUACAUGAAUUAAUAAAGAACAAAAUUACUGGAUUAUAUUUCAUUAAAAAUAAAAUAUAUAUUUCGUUUAAAUCGGACUCUUAUUUUUAUCUUUCUCCCUCUCUCAUCCAAAUGAUCGCAUUGCAAAGCGCUCCCCUCAUGUGCUGGUUCACACGACGCAUCUCUCACGAGAGCCACGUGUUGUUCCGCCAGGGCUGAACAAGUCUUUGGUAAGACACCCAGGGCCCACCCAGGGCCCACACCCAGGGCUAUUACAGCACGAGGCAGACAAAUUGAAACAUUCCACCAACACUACCAACAACAACCGCCAUUCGCCACUAAGUGGCGGUGACGUCACCACGACGCUUGUGC